AGAGGGCAGAGAAAGGUGUGUGUGUGUGUGUGUGUGUGUGUGUGUGUGUGUGUGUGUUUGUGUGUGUGUAAACUAGCCCAUUGCACACACAUGCAAACACACACACACACAAUUUGCAUUCAUUGCUCUGCCC